CCUACGGGAGGCAGCAGUGGGGAAUAUUGGACAAUGGGGGGAACCCUGAUCCAGCGACGCCGCGUGAGUGAAGAAGUAUUUCGGUAUGUAAAGCUCUAUCAGCAGGGAAGAAAGAAAUGACGGUACCUGACUAAGAAGCCCCGGCUAACUACGUGCCAGCAGCCGCGGUAAUACGUAGGGGGCAAGCGUUAUCCGGCUUUACUGGGUGUAAAGGGAGCGUAGACGGCGAUGCAAGUCUGAAGUGAAAGGCGGGGGCGCAACCCCCGGACUGCUUUGGAAACUGUAUGGCUGGAGUGCAGGAGAGGUAAGUGGAAUUCCUAGUGUAGCGGUGAAAUGCGUAGAUAUUAGGAGGAACACCAGUGGCGAAGGCGGCUUACUGGACUGUAACUGACGUUGAGGCUCGAAAGCGUGGGGAGCAAACAGGAUUAGAUACCCCAGUAGUC
rnacentral:rRNA from 1 species